AUGUGCAAGUAAAAUCCAAACAUGUUAUCUUUUUUUUUUCUUAAUUUUAUUGUCUUUUAAUUUUAUAUUGAAAACAAAAAAAAUUUGAUAAAAUUAGUGGCAUCAUUUACUGU
rnacentral:ribozyme from 1 species